rnacentral:rRNA from 1 species
AUUGAACGCUGGCGGCAGGCCUAACACAUGCAAGUCGAACGGGUGGCGGACGGGUGGGUCAUGUAUGGGAAACUGCCUGAUGGAGGGGGACAACUACUGGAAACGGUAGCUAAUACCGCAUACCAUCGGCUGUGUCCAGAUGGGAUUUGGUAGUAGGGGGGGUAAAGGCUCACCUAGGCGACGAUCCCUAGCUGGGCGGAGAGGAUGACCAGCCACACUGGAACUGAGACACGGUCCAGACUCCUACGGGAGGCAGCAGUGGGGAAUAUUGGACAAUGGGCGAAAGCCUGAUCCAGCCAUGCCGCGUGUGUGAAGAAGGUCUUCGGAUUGUAAAGCACUUUAAGUUGGGAAGCGUUACCAACAGAAUAAGCACCGGCUAACUUCGUGCCAGCAGCCGCGGUAAUUC